rnacentral:rRNA from 1 species
UGGGGAAUAUUGCGCAAUGGGCGAAAGCCUGACGCAGCGACGCCGCGUGAGGGAUGAAGGUUUUCGGAUCGUAAACCUCUGUCAGAAGGGAAGAAACCGCACUGUGCUAAUCAGCAGUGCCUUGACGGUACCUUCAAAGGAAGCACCGGCUAACUCUGUGCCAGCAGCCGCGGUAAUACGGAGGGUGCAAGCGUUAAUCGGAAUUACUGGGCGUAAAGCGCACGUAGGCUGCUUUGUAAGUCAGGGGUGAAAUCCCACGGCUCAACCGUGGAACUGCCUUUGAUACUGCUUAGCUUGAAUCCGGGAGAGGGUGGCGGAAUUCCAGGUGUAGGAGUGAAAUCCGUAGAUAUCUGGAGGAACAUCAGUGGCGAAGGCGGCCACCUGGACCGGUAUUGACGCUGAGGUGCGAAAGCGUGGGGAGCAAACAGG